AGCGGAGGAAAAGAAACCAACAGGGAUUGCCCUAGUAACGGCGAGUGAAGCGGCAACAGCUCAAAUUUGAAAUCUGGCUUCGGCCCGAGUUGUAAUUUGCAGAGGAUGUUUUUGGCGCGGUGCCUUCCGAGUUCCCUGGAACGGGACGCCACAGAGGGUGAGAGCCCCGUAUGGUUGAACACCAAGCCUGUGUAAAACUCCUUCGACGAGUCGAGUAGUUUGGGAAUGCUGCUCUAAAUGGGAGGUAAAUCUCUUCUAAAGCUAAAUACCGGCCAGAGACCGAUAGCGCACAAGUAGAGUGAUCGAAAGAUGAAAAGCACCUUGAAAAGGGGGUUAAACAGUACGUGAAAUUGUUGAAAGGGAAGCGCUCAUGACCAGACUUGUGCCGUGCGGCUCAUCCGGGGUUCUCCCCGGUGCACUCCGCACGGCUCAGGCCAGCAUCGGUUCUCGUUGGGGGAUAAGAACAGUAGGAACGUGGCCCCCCUCGGGGGGUGUUAUAGCCUAUUGUACGAUACCCUGGCGGGGACCGAGGACCGCGCUUCGGCAAGGAUGCUGGCGUAAUGGUCAUCAGCGACCCGUCU
rnacentral:rRNA from 1 species